rnacentral:lncRNA from 1 species
CCUCGACGCAGAACUGAGCCACGCAACCACCCGGGGCUCCUUAGAAAGCUGGUGUCUCACCUGAGGCCGGCGCAACUCUCAGCCGGAUUCACACCGUAAAGAUCCGCGCGCUUCUGCCCCACCGACCAAUCGUAGGCAGAGUAACAAGGGGUCAAGAACCAACCAGACACCUUGAUGGGCGGGCCUCAGUGAAAGCAAGCUGCUGAGCGCGCGCAAACGGUUGCUAGGGACGCGCUGGACGUCCACUACAGUGCCUCGGAGGAGCCAAAAGAAACUGGUUUCUCCGGCCCCCUCUCACCCCUAUCACGCCAAGUGACUGCAGUUCACUCCUACAGCGGAACCGAGGACGGUGAGCGACGUGCAGCCCUCCUUUUGGCGGCCACAUUCUCAAGGCGAGGACGAUGAGCAGAAGCGGACGAUAAGGUGGUUCUCUGUGGGCCGGAGGCGGCGAACGCGCGCCCCCGAAACCGAGCCGUGGCCUCUCUCCCCUUCUCCAAGCAUCCGCUAAAGGCAGCACUUGGCGCCAAUAUAUCAGCGCGCAGGCGCGGAAUAAACUGUUCUCCCUCGCCUACCUGCUCACGGUGCAGACACACAGCAUUGAGGCUCCGGAAGUCGGGGCAUGUCUAUUCUGUUUUACCUUUGGCCUGUAGAGCUCUCCUGGCCUCAGUAACUUUACGCCUCCGAAGUCAGCACAGUGACUUGAGCGAAUCUGCAAGCUUGAAGUGUCUCCCAUGCUGCCUGAUGACUUUCCGGGAUGUCUACGUUCGCCGUGCUCGCCUAGACUCCACUCAUUCAUCAAACCCCUAACUCGGGGGGGGCCGGGCCCUGGGGAACUACAAUUCCCAUGAAACACUGCGACCACGCAAGCGUGUCAGCUCGCGCUUCUAUACUUUGUUCCAUUGGCUGGCCGACUGGACCUGGAAUCCUGAUUGGCCCAUGGCCUGAGGCGACAGAUUCCGGAAAGGGGAAGAGCAGCCAAUAUGGCGGCGGAGCGCGGCGCGGGGCAGCAACAGUCGCAGGAGAUGAUGGAGGUUGACAGGCGUGUUGAAUCUGAAGAAUCAGGUGAUGAGGAAGGGAAGAAGCAUGGCGGUGGCAUCGUGGCAGACCUCAGCCAGCAGAGCCUGAAGGAUGGGGUAGAACGGGGCGCAGAAGAUCCGGAAGAGGAGCAUGAGCUGGCAGUGGAUAUGGAAACCAUCAGCCUGGACCGAGAUGCAGAGGAUGUUGAUCUGAAUCACUAUAGAAUUGGAAAGAUUGAAGGCUUUGAGGUGCUAAAGAAAGUGAAGUCACUCUGCCUUCGUCAAAACUUAAUUAAAUGCAUUGAGAACCUGGAUGAACUUCAGAGUCUUCGAGAACUGGAUCUCUAUGAUAAUCAGAUCAAGAAGAUUGAGAAUCUAGAGGCACUGACGGAAUUGGAGUGAGUAGGGGAAUCCAGAGGAGAUAGGAUGGGUUGGGUGGCCAGGUUCCUCAGAAUGUACCCACUGCCCGGCUGUAGUCCUAAUGGCUGCCUCUAGACCAGUCCUGUCCCGUGCUAGGGCUCCUAAGAGGGAGCAACAGCGUUGUACAUGCCGUGAGCACUGAAGGCUCAACUAGGCUGCCCAGGUUCCAUUCAGGAAUAAUGUCAGAGUCAGGAAAGAGGAACUUUAAUCCAUAACUCCUUUUAAACAACAGUGUCAGCAGCAUUUCUGACUCAAGUAGCCAGCUUUACCCAGCUGUAGUCUUAUCUGGGCUUCGCUUCUUUGCUGGUGCUGGGUCUUGGUUUUGUUUUUAAGCCCAGGCCGAGCUGAAUUCUCUGUAGCUGAUGAUGAUCUGAAUCUUGAACCUCAGGCCUCCAUCUCUCCAGCACUGGCCUUACACACAUGCACCACCUCGCCCAGCUGCUUUGUGAUUUUGGUUUGUUUCCGUUUUAGUCUAACACUGCUCAGGCGAACUAGUACAAUGCAUGGUACUAGGUUCUCCGUGGACACAGGCAUAAAUGAAACCUGGUUUCUGCUCCUAAGUAAGACCCUAGGAGACAGUGUCUGUGGCCUGCAAGUUGCCUUUACUGCCCUCCAAGCUCCAGGCAGCCUCACGAUUCCAUAAGAUGGCAGCUCCAAUGGGAGGCAGUCAGUGAGCGGUGGUGCCACGGUCAGAUCCCAUCUCCUACUGACUCAAGAUCUGGGGUCGGACGCCCCUCUUUUUUUUUUUUUUUUUUUUUUUUUUUUUUUUUUUUUUUUUUUUUUUUUGGUUCUUUUUUUCGGAGCUGGGGACCGAACCCAGGGCCUUGCGCUUCCUAGGCAAGCGCU